UACGUAGGGUGCGAGCGUUAAUCGGAAUUACUGGGCGUAAAGCGUGCGCAGGCGGUUUUGUAAGCCAGAUGUGAAAGCCCCGGGCUUAACCUGGGAAUGGCAUUUGGGACUGCAAGGCUGGAGUGUGGCAGAGGAGACUGGAAUUCCUGGUGUAGCAGUGAAAUGCGUAGAUAUCAGGAUGAAUACCGAUGGCGAAGGCAGGUCUCUGGGCUGACACUGACGCUCAUGCACGAAAGCGUGGGGAGCAAGCAGG
rnacentral:rRNA from 1 species